rnacentral:rRNA from 1 species
AUUGAACGCUGGCGGCAGGCCUAACACAUGCAAGUCGAACGAGUGGCGGACGGGUGAGUAAUGUCUGGGAAACUGCCUGAUGGAGGGGGAUAACUACUGGAAACGGUAGCUAAUACCGCAUACCAUCGGAUGUGCCCAGAUGGGAUUAGCUAGUAGGUGGGGUAAAGGCUCACCUAGGCGACGAUCCCUAGCUGGUCUGAGCGGAUGACCCGCCCCCUGGGAACUGAUACACGGUCCAGACUCCUACUGGCGGCAGCAGUGGGGAAUAUUGCCCCAUUGGCGCAAGCCUGAUGCAGUCAUGCCGCGUGUAUGAAGACGGCCUUCGGGUUUUAAAGUACUUUCAGCGGGGAGGCGUUACCCGCAGAAGAAGCACCGGCUAACUCCGUGCCAGCAGCCGCGGUAAUAC